rnacentral:rRNA from 1 species
AUACGGAGGGUGCAAGCGUUGUUCGGAAUUACUGGGCGUAAAGGACGCGUAGGUGGUAGUGCAAGUCAGUUGUGAAAUCCUCCGGCUCAACUGGAGAACUGCAAUUGAAACUGCGCAACUAGAGUACAGAAGAGGGAAAUGGAAUUCCCGGUGUAGAGGUGAAAUUCGUAGAUAUCGGGAGGAACACCAGUGGCGAAGGCGAUUUCCUGGUCUGAUACUGACACUGAGGCGUGAAAGCGUGGGGAGCAAACAGGAUUAGAUACCCUGGUAGUCCACGCUGUAAACGGUGAGUACUAGGUGUGGGAGGUGUAAUACCUUCUGUGCCGUAGCUAACGCGAUAAGUACUCCGCCUGGGAAGUACGGCCGCAAGGUUGAA